rnacentral:rRNA from 1 species
CAAUAGCGUAUAUUUAAGUUGUUGCAGUUAAAAAGCUCGUAGUCGGAUUUUGGCUGAGAACGAUCGGUCCGCCAUUAGGUGUGCACUGAUUGGUCUCAGCUUCCUGGUGAGGAGGUGUGCUUCACGGCCACUUAGUCACCGUGGUUACUUUGAAAAAAUUAGAGUGUUCAAAGCGGGCUUACGCUUGAAUAUAUUAGCAUGGAAUAACACCAUAGGACUCCUGUCCUAUUUCGUUGGUCUCGGGACGGGAGUAAUGAUUAAGAGGAACAGUUGGGGGCAUUCGUAUUUCAUUGUCAGAGGUGAAAUUCUUGGAUUUAUGAAAGACGAACUUCUGCGAAAGCAUUUGCCAAGGAUGUUUUCAUUGA